GAUGAAGAACGCAGCGAAAUGCGAUAAGUAAUGUGAAUUGCAGAAUUCAGUGAAUCAUCGAAUCUUUGAACGCACAUUGCGCCCGCCAGCACUCUGGCGGGCAUGCCUGUCCGAGCGUCAUUUCAACCCUCAGGGCCCCUUCGGGGGACCUGGCGUUGGGGAUCGGCCCGCCCCCGUGCGGCGCCGUCCCCGAAAUAUAGUGGCGGUCUCGCUGCAGCCUCCCCUGCGUAGUAGCACACCUCGCACUGGAGAGCGGCGCGGCCACGCCGUGAAACCCCCAACUUCUGAAUGUUGACCUCGGAUCAGGUAGGAAUACCCGCUGAACUUAAGCAUAUCAAUAAGCGGAGG
rnacentral:misc_RNA from 1 species